rnacentral:rRNA from 1 species
AGUGGGGGAUAACGUAGCGAAAGUUACGCUAAUACCGCAUAUGCCCUGAGGGGGAAAGGUGGGGAUCGCAAGACCUAUCGUUUUCGGAGUGGCCGAUAUCAGAUUAGCUAGUUGGUGGGGUAAAGGCCCACCAAGGCGACGAUCUGUAGCGGGUCUGAGAGGAUGAUCCGCCACACUGGGACUGAGACACGGCCCAGACUCCUACGGGAGGCAGCAGUGGGGAAUUUUGGACAAUGGGCGCAAGCCUGAUCCAGCCAUGCCGCGUGAGUGAAGAAGGCCUUCGGGUUGUAAAGCUCUUUCGGCUGGGAAGAAAUCGCAUCUCCUAAUACGGGGUGUGGAUGACGGUACCAGCAUAAGAAGCACCGGCUAACUACGUGCCAGCAGCCGCGGUAAUACGUAGGGUGCGAGCGUUAAUCGGAAUUACUGGGCGUAAAGCGUGCGCAGGCGGUUUCGUAAGACAGACGUGAAGUCCCCGGGCUCAACCUGGGAACUGCGUUUGUGACUGCGAGGCUAGAGUAUGGCAGAGGGGGGUGGAAUUCCA